GCCUACGGCCAUCCCACCCAGGUAACGCCCGAUCUCGUCUGAUCUCGGAAGCUAAGCAGGGUCGGGCCUGGUUAGUACUUGGAUGGGAGACCUCCUGGGAAUACCGGGUGCUGUAGGCU
rnacentral:rRNA from 7 species